AUGAUCAAUAAAGUACAGGCUUAUAUCGCCAGGAUUACAUUGACGACGACUACACCCAGUGGGGCGGGUGUAUACACUUUGGUGCCCCGGCGACACGACGAUGAUAUCGAACUGUUGACACGUGAGGGGUCAGGUGAUGAUAUCGAACUGUUGACGUUGCCGUGCGUGGAGGAGAGCACCGCCAGCCGAUGGCGAGCCAUGGCGAACCGUCACCCGAUGAUAUCAGAGAGACCGGCAUACAAGGCAAAGCCUCGCACUUCCACUGGCGCAGGAGGGCGAUAUCGGUCUGCUAACGAGUACCUUUCGACGUCGGACAUAUCGGUGUUUCAGUUCUGCCGCAAUGCCCUACAGCAUGAGCUCAGUCAACAUUAUGACGACAGAAUUUCGAUCGACCUCAGUAUCAUACGCCAUUGGGAUCAACUAUCGUGGUGGUGCACUGUGUACGGAGGCCUAGAUUCCACCGUGGGAAUUUCCGAGCAAUGGGACGAACGGCUAUGGCAGGGUGAUUCCUCUGAGGGAAUUCCCAUGGAGGAGGAAGACUCACGCGAUUGCAGAGAGCAGAUAUCCAAAGUUUCAAACGACGAAUUCUUUGGAACAGACGAGGACUCAUGUCUUGAUCAGAGCAGUGUAUGUUCCGACAGCCACACCAACGCGCAAUGCAGUUCAACAAUGACGGCUUUAACGAGGUCGGCAGAAUUUUUGUUGCAUCGACCCAUGGAGAACAGUACCCUGGCAUCAUCGACAAUGCAGACCCAGCUUGGUGGCAACAGUGACAACGAUUCACCCGAUUGGAUAGAGCGAACAUUCAAAGAUUCGACCAACAAAAUCUUUAGAAAAGACGAAGACUCAUGUCCUGGUCAGAACAUUGUGUGUUCUGAUAGCAAUAUCGUCACGCAUUGCAGCGCGACAAUGACGACUUGGAACAGUACCAUGGUGUCAUCGUCAACACAGCUUGGUGGCAGCAGCGAUGACUUGACUAGCUCGGCCGUAGAGCAACCGAGUAGCAACAACGACGACAUUGUCGAUUCUGAUAGCAUGAAUAGCUCGAUUACAACGGAACAUAGUGAUGUAUCCGACGAGCAAGCAACCGAGACGUCUACUGAAGUUGAUGAGACAAGUAGUACACCAUGGUGGCUAGUACCAGGAUUCAGAUUUCGCCCCACGGACAAGGAGAUCGUGCUCCACUAUCUCAAGCCCAAAGUCCUGAAUCUGGCGCUUCCAAGAAGAAUAGAAGAGCUGGUCAAUAUUUAUGCUCUGGACGCAGAUGACAAAAGACUUGACGAAGAAGACGGAGACAAAGAGCGACUGGGGUUCUUCUUCGUGCACAAGCAAGACAUGGCGUACAGCAACGGGUGCUACUACACCACCCCGGCCGGGUACUGGAGGAUCCGCGGCCGGCCGUCCCGCGUGAGGGAGGGCCGCCGCACCGUCGCCUUCAAGACGUCCAUGGACUUCUACCGCGGCAGGCUGCUGCACGGGCGCAGGACCCCGUGGAGCAUGUUCGAGUACAAGCUCAACGCAGACCGUGGCGACCUCAGGAACCUCGCGCAGCCAGAGGUACGCAUGUGA
rnacentral:rRNA from 1 species